CUGACGAGUGGCGGACGGGUGAGUAAUGUCUGGGAAACUGCCUGAUGAGGGGAUAACUACUGGAAACGGUAGCUAAUACCGCAUAAUGUCGCAAGACCAAAUGAGGGGGACCUUCGGGCCUCUUGCCAUCGGAUGUGCCCAGAUGGGAUUAGCUUGUUGGUGAGGUAAUGGCUCACCAAGGCGACGAUCCCUAGCUGGUCUGAGAGGAUGACCAGCCACACUGGAACUGAGACACGGUCCAG
rnacentral:rRNA from 1 species